rnacentral:rRNA from 1 species
AGUGAGCGCUGGCGGUAGGCCUAACACAUGCAAGUCGAACGGCAGCACAGUAAGAGCUUGCUCUUACGGGUGGCGAGUGGCGGACGGGUGAGGCAUACAUCGGAAUCUACUUUUUCGUGGGGGAUAACGUAGGGAAACUUACGCUAAUACCGCAUACGACCUACGGGUGAAAGCAGUGGAUCUUCGGACCUUGCGCGACUGAAUGAGCCGAUGUCGGAUUAGCUAGUUGGCGGGGUAAAGGCCCACCAAGGCGACGAUCCGUAGCUGGUCUGAGAGGAUGAUCAGCCACACUGGAACUGAGACACGGUCCAGACUCCUACGGGAGGCAGCAGUGGGGAAUAUUGGACAAUGGGCGCAAGCCUGAUCCAGCCAUACCGCGUGGGUGAAGAAGGCCUUCGGGUUGUAAAGCCCUUUUGUUGGGAAAGAAAAGCAGCAGGUUAAUACCCCGCUGUUCUGACGGUACCCAAAGAAUAAGCACCGGCUAACUUCGUG